UACGAAGGGGGCUAGCGUUGCUCGGAAUCACUGGGCGUAAAGGGUGCGUAGGCGGGGUUUUAAGUCAGAGGUGAAAUCCUGGAGCUCAACUCCAGAACUGCCUUUGAUACUGGGAAUCUUGAGUAUGGAAGAGGUGAGUGGAACUGCGAGUGUAGAGGUGAAAUUCGUAGAUAUUCGGAAGAACACCAGUGGCGAAGGCGGCUCACUGGCCCGGUACUGACGCUGAGGUGCGAAAGCGUGGGGAGCAAACAGG
rnacentral:rRNA from 1 species